UACGUAGGGGGCUAGCGUUGCUCGGAAUCACUGGGCGUAAAGCGCACGUAGGCGGCUUGUUAAGUCAGGGGUGAAAUCCUGGAGCUCAACUCCAGAACUGCCUUUGAUACUGGCGAGCUUGAGUCCGGGAGAGGUGAGUGGAACUGCGAGUGUAGAGGUGAAAUUCGUAGAUAUUCGCAAGAACACCAGUGGCGAAGGCGGCUCACUGGCCCGGUACUGACGCUGAGGUGCGAAAGCGUGGGGAGCAAACAGG
rnacentral:rRNA from 1 species